rnacentral:rRNA from 1 species
UCAGAUUGAACGCUGGCGGCAGGCCUAACACAUGCAAGUCGAGCGGCAGCGGGAAGUAGUUUACUACUUCGCCGGCGAGCGGCGGACGGGUGAGUAAUGUCUGGGGAUCUGCCUGAUGGAGGGGGAUAACUACUGGAAACGGUAGCUAAUACCGCAUGACCUCGUAAGAGCAAAGUGGGGGACCUUCGGGCCUCACGCCAUCGGAUGAACCCAGAUGGGAUUAGCUAGUAGGUGGGGUAAUGGCUCACCUAGGCGACGAUCCCUAGCUGGUCUGAGAGGAUGACCAGCCACACUGGAACUGAGACACGGUCCAGACUCCUACGGGAGGCAGCAGUGGGGAAUAUUGCACAAUGGGCGCAAGCCUGAUGCAGCCAUGCCGCGUGUGUGAAGAAGGCCUUCGGGUUGUAAAGCACUUUCAGCGAGGAGGAAGGCAGUCGUGUUAAUAGCACGAUUGAUUGACGUUACUCGCAGAAGAAGCACCGGCUAACUCCGUG